GCAUGACUUUAGUGCAACAUUUGUAACUUUUUUACGAAGAUUCAAGCCAUUAUUGAUUUAUAGAUCCAUGAAUUUGUGAAUUAUAUUAAAAAAAUUAAAUAAAAACACAUUUUAGAUGUUGUAAGUCCACUUACAAAGCUUGCUAGCCCACUAGAACUGUUUGUUUGGUCUCCCGCUUUGAGUCAGCUAAAACUUUGCUGUGUUCCAUUUAAAUAGGAAGUUGAUGCAAGCACAUGUGUUGCAGGAGCUGUACUUCUGCAAGAAGAUGAUCAAGGAUGAAAGACUCGAACCACCGACUUAUGUGUUGGUCACUUUUGGUGCAGGACUUUCAUUUACAAAUAAACUACAAAUAGGAUAAGAAGAAAAUGUUAGCAUACACCUUAGGUCUGUGUGUAAAAUGUAGCUGUUUGGGAAAAUUAAACCUAUUUUUAUGAUAUAACAUCUAUAUCAUCUGCUUCUCCUAUCGUCAAAAGGUGGUUAAUUGAAUUUCCGAUUAUUAUCUCACUUUAGCCCUGACAAAUAAUAAAUAUGUAGAGAAACAAAGAAAUGGAUAAUGUUUCACAUUUUUAUUGCUCCAAGAUAAGCAACAUAAUAGGUGAACCAGCCCAACAGGAUGACAUGAUCAGAAACUGUCCUGUACAAAGGAAGGUACAGAAUGACGUCUAAUCUAAAAAAAAAAAUAACAUCUUAUUAUUGCAAAAUAUUUCUCGUUGAAAAA